rnacentral:rRNA from 1 species
UACGUAGGUUGCGAGCGUUAUUCGGAUUUACUGGGCGUAAAGAGCACCGAGGUGGCUUCUUAAGUUGGAUGUAAAAUCUCCUGCUUAACUGGGAGGCGCCAUUCAAAACUGAGGAGCUUGAGGUCAGCAGGGAAGGUGGAAUUCCCGGUGUAGUGGUGGAAUGCGUAGAGAUCGGGAGGAACACCAGUGGCGAAAGCGACCUUCUGGGCUGCACCUGACACUCUAGUGCGAAAGCCGUGGGGAGCAAACAGG